CUAACAAUUCGCAAUACAUGGUUGUGCAAUAUUUCUUAGAGCAGUGCCAAGACAACUAUUAGAAGAUGCGCUGAAAUAUCUACACGCAGCCAAGCCCUAUAACGUUAGUAGCUCAUAUACGGGAACGCUUAUCGAUGGGUCAUGAAUCCCGUAAGAAUUGUUGUCGUAUGUUACCUACCUCUCAUCAUUAUUGGAGAAACUCUUCAAGAUCUCAAGGAUGCACUGAAUACACGUCAGAGAAUUUGGACCUGUUUCAAGAAGCUACCAUCCUGGAGACUACAGCCAUAAACAGAAGUGCAUAUAUUUCGAAGCGCGUUUAACAAAACGCGCCUACUACAUAUUAGACCUGCACUACGAGGCGGGUGACAUUUGGAGGAGCCAGCGAAAUUACGCAAAGAUAUUUCUUUCCAAAGGUGAACCAAUAAUGCGAGUGGGCCCAGAUCUCGGUAAGCUACAACCUUAUGUGCCUCAUAAAUCGCGUUUUCUCACGCAUGGUAAUCGCUGAUAAUAGAUUUCCUACAG
rnacentral:lncRNA from 1 species